rnacentral:rRNA from 1 species
GGAAUGGGCGGUAAACUGCCCGAGGGAGGGGGAUGACUACUGGAAACGGUAGCUAAUACCGAAUAACGUCGCAAGACCAAAGUGGGGGACCUCCGGGCCUCACACCAUCGGAUGUGCCCAGAUGGGAUUAGCUUGUAGGCGGGGUAACGGCCCACCUAGGCGACGAUCCCUAGCUGGUCUGAGAGGAUGACCAGCCACACUGGAACUGAGACACGGUCCAGACUCCUACGGGAGGCAGCAGUGGGGAAUAUUGCACAAUGGGCGCAAGCCUGAUGCAGCCAUGCCGCGUGUAUGAAGAAGGCCUUCGGGUUGUAAAGUACUUUCAGCGGGGAGGAAGGUGGUGAGGUUAAUAACCUCACCAAUUGACGUUACCCGCAGAAGAAGCACCGGCUAACUCCGUGCCAGCAGCCGCGGUAAUACGGAGGGUGCAAGCGUUAAUCGGAAUUACUGGGCGUAAAGCGCACGCAGGCGGUCUGUUAAGUCA